GUACACGCUGUGACUAGCAUAUCAAUAAGCGGAGGAAAAGGCUGCGGAACUGAACGACCGCUACCUACGCUUAGGAUGUUGACACACGCGCGUGCUCGACUCUAUACAUGACACUGUGCAUAUCAAUAAGCGGAGGAAAAGAAACUAACAAGGAUUCCCCUAGUAACGGCGAGUGAAGCGGGAAGAGCUCAAAUUUGAAAUCUUAAAGGGUUUCCCUUUACGAAUUGUAGUUUAAAGAAGUGUUUUCUGUUGAGGUUUUGGUAAAAGUUCUUUGGAAUAGGACAUCAUAGAGGGUGAGAAUCCCGUAUUUGACCUUUACUUUCAACUUUGUGAUACACUUUCAAAGAGUCGGAUUGUUUGGGAAUGCAGUCCAAAAUGGGUGGUAAAUUUCAUCUAAAGCUAAAUAUUGGCGAGAGACCGAUAGCGAACAAGUACCGUGAGGGAAAGAUGAAAAGAACUUUGAAAAGAGAGUUAAACAGUACGUGAAAUUGUCAAAAGGGAAGCGUUUGACACCAGUGUUGUUUUUCUGAAAAUCAAUUAAAGAACUGUUUAUGCUAAGUUGUUUAGACUUUAUCAGCUAACUGUUUAGUUUUGAGCUUUAUCUUUAAUGCACUUUUCAGUUAACGAGUCAACAUCAAUUUCUUUUGCUGUAAAAAAGCUUGAGGAAGGUAGCUUGAGAUUCGUCUUAAGUGUUUAUAGCCUCUUGCCUAUGCAGUCGGAGAGAUUGAGGUCUGCAGCGUAGAUCCUUCGGGGCUAAAUGCAUUUGUGCUAAGUUAUAGCAUUUCAUAGACAACUUGUUGACUAUGAUUUGUCUUGUAGCUUACUCGCUUAUGUUAUUUUACCUACGCUUAGGAUGUUGACAGCAGUAUAGACUGU
rnacentral:rRNA from 1 species